ACUGCCAACUGGGAUAAAAGGCCUUGGGUUACGGAACCGGAAGCUGGCCGCGUGACCGCACUGUUUUCAAGGCGGAAGUUGCCUCUGCAGCGCCCGUCGCGGCCCUCUCUGUAACCGGGUUGGGCAGGGGGUGUCUGUCUUUUCUCAGCUCUGGAUGUGGAGCACGAAAGAGCGGCCUGGAAAAUUUGUGGGUUUACUUGAAACAAGUGAGAUUUGGCCCUCGCCUUCGGGGGCUUUGACUUUUGUGUGAGCUCACUGAACUUUCUCAGGUUGCCCACUGAGGUUCGUGAGGAAAUGACUGAGGUGAAAAUUGCACGUGCUUUAUAAAAAUGGGGGAAAGACAACAACAUGGAUGGGGUCGAGUGUGCAAUUAUUCCCAGCUGAACGUCUUUCAGACCAACAGUGGAUGAGACGUUUAAGGAGGCCUUGCCAGGCACUGGAAGCCUCCAGCUGAGCUCAGUGGGUGGGAGGGCCACUUGUAGUCCCCAGAGAAAGGGGCGGUUCUAGGUUCCCUGCUCCACCUUAAGGAACAGUAAAGCUGGGCAGGGGGUUGAAGCUGAAAAAGGCUGAGAAGAUUAGGAAGGAGGAAGACUCAGAGAAGAAAGACCUGGAGGAGGCACUUGGAGCUGAGAGACAUAUAAGUAAGCUGUGCGUGCUCCUCAGCUUUGGACUUUUCACCGGGGACUUGGGGGACAUGGAAGGAGACACUUGAAAGAGGCAGAGCCAUGGGGAAAAGAGAAGUCAGGAUCAAGUGCAUCAAAGAGGCACUAAAUCAGUUGUAAAGAUUAGAAGUCUCAAGAUGUGUACCAAUAGGAAGAUCUGUAAACCAGAGAGUCUUGACCCUGGGAUAUUGGCCUGUGUGGACCAUGGCCAGACGUCGGAAGGUUUAUGUUGUUUUGGUUUUUACUCCCUGGAAGUAAUAUGCGGAACAGUAUAUUCUGGGAGAGAUUUUGGUCUCAACUUCCUACUACUUCUCUUACCCUCCCCCAGUCGGCUAACAGUGGAAAUUUAAGCUGCUAAUUGGCUUAGACUCCUGGAUAGGGGCACUUUGCAUUCAUUAAUGAGUUAUGGUCUAUUUUCUCCAUGCCCAUAGCUUGAUAGUUGAGUCAGAACCCGCUCUGUAGAUCUGGUUAUUUUAUUUAGACAUUAAGGUCCAGUGUUUUUUUUAAUGAGCAAGGAAAUGAUGCCUUCUUUGCAACCAGAGCCCAAACCUCAACUUCUUAGUUUAUGUGGUAUCUUGCAUGUGAGAAAACUGUCAUCAACACUAGGUAUACAGUGGUAACCAAAAUGACUUUGUUCCUGUUUUCAUGGAGCAUAUCGUCUUACAGAGACUAGUAAACAAGUUAGGCAAAUACAUAGAUAAGUGGUGUUACAAAGUAUCAUGCAGAAAAGUGAUAUUACAAAGAAUCAGCAGUAUACUGUGAUAAAGAGUAUUUAGAGAAUUUGGAGAAGACUUCUAGACAAAACUGAACAGGAGCCAUAGAGGCAAAGGGUAUUUUAAACAGGGGGGGAAAGGGUUUUAGGCACUUACUGACGCUGUUAAUAAAGUCACACUUUCACUCCAGUUAGGUCCUUGUAUACAGAUUCCUCGACAAUCUUCUAAGGAAUGCGAAGAAAGCGAAGUCAAGGUGAUUCUGGAACCCUGGCCUUCAUAUCAGAAUUACAACAAAUCCUGCCUGGGUUUCUUGAAAGUAUGACAUUUUCCUGAAGAGAGGGUGUUAAUGCUCCUGCGCUUCUUAGUGCUUAGUGCUGGAGAAAGCAUGGCCCUUGAGUCAGAGGAUGUACCUACCCAGCAUGAUACACAGUUUCCUCAUGUCCUAGAGCUUUAUGAAAGCAAACUCGAGAAUAGGCCCAAGGCGUAAGAGCAAGCAUCUACUACAGCAUGUAAACCCAAAAGGAACCUGGGCCCCAGAACUGGUAUCGCUUCCCUGGGGAAUGGCAGCAGACCAUGGCAGAGCUGCGUCUGAGCUCUGGCCAUCCCAACAGCAGGCAGAGAAGGGGUUAUCCUGCUGUCAUUGGAACCCUGGGUUCCGUCUUUUGGUGUCUCUUAGGUAAUCAUCAGAGACAACCACCACCAUGCGGCGGCACCUAGGGGAGAAUGGGCAGGCUACAGACACCUGCAACUCAGCUCAGCAUACCCCCAGGGGAUGACCUCAAGAGGAUCCCACUGUGCGAAGGUCAGACAGGGCCCAGCUGGGAGAAUCCCAGCAUCUGGAUCCCUGAGCAGGUUUCAUGCCCCCACCCACUCGUCCCCUGACCACCGAACCAACCUUUUCUCAAUGAGCUCACUGGCAAUGGACCAGACACAGGUGCCAGGCAGGACAUCACGGUCGGACACACACAACUUCAGCCGGUAGUCUGUCUGUUCCAGCUGCCGGAUCAUCUCGUGCACAAACUGGAUAUCAUUGGGGCAGUAGCAGAUGAAGGCAUCAAAGCGCUCGGGCAUUUGCCCUGGAGGAUGAGCACAAGGAGGACGGUCAAGAGUGUUACAGGAAGCCUGGGGAAGGGCCGCUUUAGAAAUCUCCAGCUUAGGCAAUCUUAGUCCUGGACCCUAUACCAGUCGUGAAAUAACACUACACAGAAUAAGGGCCCUUCCCAGGAGAGGAAGGAUGAGUGCCUCCCCCAUACCCUGCCCUGGCUCGAGUCCUGGGUUCCUGAGAAUGUCAUAGCAACCCAGGGGUAGGUAUAUAAUUCCCAUUUCUUAGGUAAGGAAACUGAGAUUCGGAGAGGUUUAGUGACUUGCCCAAGGUCCCACAGUCCAUGUGCUUUCAACAACCAUGCUCUUAACACCAUGGCCCUCUUGUCCCAUUUGGCCCAGAGAAACAGUA